rnacentral:lncRNA from 1 species
CCUCUCUCAGUCUUUAAUCAAUUAUUUCCAUCUUUUAUUUUUAAAUUGUAAUUAAUUUCAAUUUUACCUUAUAAUCUUUUUAAGUAGCCGUUAUUUAUUUUCUUUUCUAGUCUUUAUCUCUUCUCUUUAUUUUACUUUUUAUUAUUAUUAUCUGAUAAAGAUCCCAAAAACAGUGUGUCCAUAUCCAAGAAACAAUCAUACGCGUGCAUUAGUUCCAAUCCAGCAAACAGCUCAUCUGCAGAAUCACGUUCCUC